rnacentral:tRNA from 1 species
GGAGGGUAUAGCUCAGUGGUAGAGCAUGUGCUUAGCAUGCACAAGGUCCUGGGUUCAAUCCCCAGUACUUCCA